rnacentral:lncRNA from 1 species
GGAUGCACCGCGUCACAGAGGAAGAGGUAUGCGAGGUCUGUGAUGACGGUGGAUAUGUUUGAGGACCACUCGCCGGAUGUGGACAUUACGUUCACAAAGCAAGAUCUUCGGGACGUUGUGCCUCAUGACAACGACCCCAUAGUCAUCUCGCUGAUUACGGCGGGAAGGAAGGUCCACAGGGUUCUGGUGGACCAAGGAAGCUCGGCAGACGUGAUGUUCUGGCCGACUUUCACACAGU